AUUGAACGCUGGCGGCAUGCCUUACACAUGCAAGUCGAACGGUAACGCGGGGCAACCUGGCGACGAGUGGCGAACGGGUGAGUAACGCAUCGGAACGUGCCCAGUAGUGGGGGAUAGCCCGGCGAAAGCCGGAUUAAUACCGCAUACGACCUACGGGUGAAAGGGGGGGAUCGCAAGACCUCUCGCUACUGGAGCGGCCGAUGUCAGAUUAGGUAGUUGGUGGGGUAAAGGCCAACCAAGCCUUCGAUCUGUAGCUGGUCGGAGAGGACGACCAGCCACACUGGGACUGAGACACGGCCCAGACUCCUACGGGAGGCAGCAGUGGGGAAUUUUGGACAAUGGGCGCAAGCCUGAUCCAGCCAUGCCGCGUGCGGGAAGUAGGCCUUCGGGUUGUAAACCGCUUUUGUCAGGGAAGAAACGCUCUGGGCUAAUACCCCGGGGUAAUGACGGUACCUGAAGAAUAAGCACCGGCUAACUACGUGCCAGCCGCCGCGGUAA
rnacentral:rRNA from 1 species